rnacentral:rRNA from 1 species
UACGUAGGGUGCAAGCGUUGUCCGGAAUUAUUGGGCGUAAAGAGCUCGUAGGCGGUUUGUCGCGUCUGCUGUGAAAACCCGUGGCUCAACCAUGUGGUCUGCAGUCGAUACGGGCAGGCUAGAAUUCGGUAGGGAGACUGGAAUCCUGGUGUAGCGGUGAAUGCGCAGAUAUCAGGAGGAACACCCGUGGCUAAGGCGGCUCUCUAGUACGGUACUGACGCUGAGACGCGAAAGCGUGGGGAGGCGAACGG